GAGAGAUGGUUGUUAUAAGUUUCACCUUCCUCUCCAUCCCUUUCUGAUUCCAAGUUGUCUAGGCUUGCAGAUUCCCUUAGUGAUCUCUAUUAGGUGGGUACUUCAUCCACAACCUCCACUGCUGGGAUUUUCACAGUUUUUGCUCAGGGAAUACUGUGGAUGUUCGAUGACCCAGAAGGCCUGCUGCAAGCUGCAGCUACCAGCCUACACCAUAGCCACAUCAAUGAUGGAUCUGAGCUGCACCCAUGACCUUUUUCACAGCUUGAGGUAACACUGGUUCCUUAACCCACUGAACAGGGCCAGGGGUUAAACCUGCAUCCUCAGACACUAUGUCAAGUUCUUAACUCACUGAGCUACAAUGGGAAUUCCCAUUUCUUUCAUACCUGGUCUUUUUAAAUGUCUCUAUAGCUAUGCCUUUCUUAGUAAGAAUCUUAAAAUAACAUAGCCUUUUCAGAUUGGCUUUUUUUUCACUUAUUACGCAUUUGUUCCCUCAUAUAAUUUCAUGGCUUGAUAGCUCAGUCAUUUUUAUUGCUGAAGAAUACUCCAUUUCCUUGAUAUACCAUAGUUUAUUCUAUACAAUGGACAUCUUAGGUGCUUCCAAGAUUUGGCAAUUAUGAAUAAAGCUGCUGUAAAUAUUUAUGUGCAGAUUUCUCUGUGGUAAUAAUUCUCACCUCCUUUAGGUAAAUUCCAAGGAACACUGUUCCUGGGAUGUAUGGUAGGAUUAUGUUUAGUUUUGAAAGAUACCACCAAACUGUCUUCCAGAAUGGCUGUACUAUUUUGGAUUUGCACCAGGAAUGAAUAACAAAAUGUCAUUUUAGAAUUCUUCUGCUCUGUCACUGAUACCAUUUAUAUUACUUAUUAUCACUUUGUCAUGAUUACUAAUUCUGUCCCUUGUAUAUUUCCUAAAUAUUUAUUUAGCUGGUCUGUUUCUCAUCUCCAUGGUGUUAGUGUUGAACCCUCAAUUCUGUCAAUAGGACAGUUGUGUUAGCUUGCCUCUCUGUCCCUCUAAAUUUCAUUUUCUGUAGUGCCUCAGCAUAUAAAAUACAAUAUGUAACUCUGACCUUCUCAUUCAUCCUAUUGCUUUUAAUCCAGUAAUGAUUAUUUAUAUUUAUGAUAAAAUGUAAAUUUUAUAGCAUGAUGUACUACUUCCUGUGUUUUCAGGCACCUCCCAGUCUUUGCCAAAUGUCGCACACAUCCAUUUCCAUUCAUGAUGUACUGCGUUCAUACUGAACCACCUCGUUUUCUACUACUCUCUCUGCUGUGCCUCAGAUCCACAUUUUGUUGUGUAUUGCUAUUUCUGCUGGAAAUGGAUUCCCUUGUCUUUAACAUCUAACUAACUUCUCCUCAUCUUUUCUAAUUUCAACAUUAUUUCCUCCUGAAACAUUUGCACUGCCCCUACUCCUGCCCCACAUGGUCUGGGUCACUCUUCCUGUGUUCCCAUAUCUCCCGUACAAACAUUAUUUUGAAGACUUAGCACCUUGCAUUUUGAUGUUUUGUGUUCUGUAUAGCCUUGCUCUAGGCUUUAUUACUUCCAAAUCAUGUUAGAUGGUGGGUAAUCUCUUUUCCAAGUAAAUAAUUUUAUUUGGGGUUAUAAAAUCUACUCUAUUAUCAGUUCAACAUUAAAUGAGUUACAUUAUUUAGAUCUGAAAAUCUAGAUUAAAUAUAAGUUCCACGCUGAGCUUCCUGGCUACUGAAUUUUGAAGUGUUAGGACACAUAACUGUCAGCUCCUCAAAGCCAGGAAUGUUGCCAUUACUGUUGAAAUAGUAAUUAUUAGGUGAUAAUGAUUAUAAGUGCUCCUGAACAGAUAAUUGUCCAAUGGGUGUUUAUAAGAAAUUGUUGAUAGCAGUAGAUUGUUCACUAGCCCACUCUCCUGUCUGGAAGUCUAUAGGUGGCUGUGUCUGCAUGUUCACCAUCCUUAAGGUGGCAGCUGUAGCAGUGUUUGCUGGAGGGUAUUCUCAGUCUAAGGCUUUUUUUUCCCUCCACCAUUUUUACUAUUGCUUUGACACCUUCCUCAGAUUGAUGGAAAUUGGGCAUAUUCAUUAUAUUGGAAAAUUUUCUUAAAUGUACAAUUCUAUACUGAAUGGGACAUACAUCAUUGAAAAACAUUUAAUUACUCUGCCUUCUUGGCUAUCCUUCCAUUUAUGUUUCUCCUUAAAUAACUACACAUGUUCUAUUUUUCAGGGCUGUUUUUCUAUAAACUUGACAAACAGCUGUGAGUGUUCUUCUCUGUAAUCUCUCAUCUCUAGAACAUGAAGUUAAAAGUUAAUCACAAAUCAGAGUGCCAUAAUUUUUCAUGGUUACAGCAAAAAAGCAACAUCACAAAUACACAUAAAACUCUUAACUCUGGCUUAGAAAUGAAUUAUCUAAAAUCCACUUUCUACUGAGAGGAUAAAUGUAAUGAUGUUUGUGUUUUCUAGGCCAGGGAAUGACAAGAUGCCCUGGGAUACAUGAAUAUUCUCAGUACAAAAACAUUGGCUUCCAACUCAGAAAAAAAAAAAAAAAA
rnacentral:lncRNA from 9 species